GCUGGGGAGAGGAAAGGAAGAAAAGAGAGAUUGCUGCUUGCAUGCAGAAAGGAAAGGUUCCUGAAUAAACUGCUUUGAGAAGAGCAUCCUGGUGUCGCUCCUUUCUGCGGGACUGAGACAGAGACCACAAGUGGUGGCCUGUACGGGAACUCUUCCUCCGCUCGUUCAGAACUCAUUGCAGCCAGGGCAGCUAGCUGGUAAAUUCCCAGGUACUGUGCUUUUCAGUUUCGUGUUGUUAUGGGAUUCCUGAAUGUGAGAACAAAACCUCCAGAACACCUUGAUGCUCACAAGUAGCUGUGUAAAGCCUGUCAAACCCUCAUGUCAAGUUUGGAUCAAGUGGACAGCUGAAGUGAACUAUGACAGUAUCAUCCUUGAACACAUUACUGAACACCUAUGUUAUGUCAGCUACUAUGACUGACCAGGCAGAACUAAGAGCCAAAAGGCAAAUGGACUUCUUGGCCCCACAAAACUAAGUAGAGGAUUUAGCUAAUGAGAUAAGUAUAAUAUAAUAAAAAUAAAAAUUAAUAUUUGAUAAUACUAAUGAAGAAGAUUGAAUUAUCAGAACUUAAAUGAACCUUAAGCAAAAGGGAGCACUGUAGAAAAAUGCUGGCUGACAGGUAAUGAUGGAAAAGAUUCUGUGGCUAAGAGGGUUUCAUCUGUGCUAGACUCCAGUGUCUUCAGAGACCUAAGUAUAGAUGGGUAUGACUAGAUUAUCACACGAGAAGGAAAGCACCAAAAUAUCCAAAAUCUGAGGUUGGAGGAUGGCCAAUGGCCAUACCAUGUAGGAAUAUUACCAUUUUAUUAAGAAAAUUAUAUCAAGAGUUUAUUGGGUUCUCAAAGAAUUUUGGGAAAGUUAUCAUAUUCAUGUCAUAUUCAACAUUUUUAUAAAUAUUACUAUAUAAAGCAUGUGGGAAAUGACUAAAGGACAUGGAAGUGGAUUUAUCAAGAUAAGAGACUGUUCUUACGGGGUUGGGGAUUUAGCUCAGCGGUAGAGCGCUUGCCUAGUGAGCGCAAGGCCCUGGGUUCGGUCCCCAGCUCCGGAAAAAAAAAAAAAAAAAAAAAGCGACUGUUCUUACAAUCCAAGAAGCAUCAGCAUAUCUAAUAAUGACUACAAACUAUCAAGCUAUUAGAAAUACUGAGGUUAUGAAUGUGAUUUGUUGACUGGGAGGAUAUUGAGAAGUGAGACAGACUAGCAGGAUGAUGUAAGUUUCAACAUAGUGAAUUUUAUGUGUAAAUAGAAAAUUCAAAGAGAGGAAGAGAGCAUGCAUGCCUGAGGAAGAACAGUUGAAAUUGUGCACGUGAUGCCUACUGGAGUCCAGGCUGUGGAUGAUCCAAAUCUUGGAGACACCAGCUUUCGGGCAUCAUUAAUGCUGUGUAGUUGAAACAAAAAUUGUUCACUCCAGUAAUAGAUUACCAGCACAGGACAGAUUCACAAGAAUAGUCAAGUAUCACUGAGAAUACAAUUUGCUUUCUUAACCAUCCAGGCUGUUGGUUAAAGGCAGUUGGUUAAAAUCAGAGAUAUCAUGGGACAAGACAGCAUAAUGCAGAGGCCUAUCUAACUCAGGCUUGUCAAUCAAAUGAAGAACCACCCACAGUACACACUCAACAACUUUUCUAGUUUCUCCUUUGCUUAUGUGACUUCCGGGUCACAGUCCAUCUUUGAAAAGACAAAACAGGAGCUCAAGCAGGAGCCUGAAGCAGAAACAAUACAAAAUGGCAUCUUGCUGACUCCUUCACAACUCAGGCUUAGCUAGAUUUCUCAUGCAGAGUAGGUGCACCUGGAUACACACUGUACUGCCCACAGAAGGCAGGGCCCUCCAAGAUCAAGACAGUCCUCCACAGACAUGCUCACAGGCUACUCUGUUCCGGGAAAUCGCUCAGUCAAGAAGUUCCUCUCUAUGUGGUGUGAAACUGACAACACUUACUAGCCCAGAAAGGAAAUGUUUUCUCUUGAGCUUCUUGUGGUGGUCUGGAUGAAAAUAGACCCCUUAAGCUCAAAUAUGUGAAUGCUUAGUUACAGUGAAGUAGAAUUCUUUGAAAAGAUUAGAAGGAUUAGGACUUGUGAACUUGUUGAACCAGGUGUGGCCUUGUUGGCGAAAGUAGGUCAUUAGGGGUAGACUGAGGUUUCAAGAACUCAUGCUAGUUUCUUUCUUUCUCUUUUCCUGCACAUCAGAAGCAGCUCUCAACUACUUCUCCAGCACCAUGCCUGUCAUGCCUGCUGCCAUGCUCCCCUCAUGAUGAUAAGGGUCCAGAUCUCUGUAAGCAAGCCCCGAUUAAAUGUUUCCUUUUGUGAUAGUUGCUGUGGUCAUUGUGUCUCUUCACAGCAGUAGAACAGUGACUUAGACAUUCUUUGAAAGGAAACAUCCCCAAAUAAUUAUGACCUUAAGUACCCUCACUCAUUUGGCCUGGUGUUAAUUCUUGACAGUGUAUUUCUUAUCUGUUCUAUAGCUUUUCUUUGAAAACAUUUUUUAUUGCUAUUCUUUAUUAAACUUUAGGUUUUUAUUUCUCUCUUGAACAAGAAGCUAAGACCCUGGAAAUAAAUGGCAAAGAUUCCGAGCACUCUUAAUAAUAAUGUUUGUAAACUGUGCCAUUGAUUUAGGAUGUCACGAAACAUAAUUUCUAUUAGUAGUUCAUAAAUGCAGAAUUUCAAAUUAUAUAUCUGGAUUUGGGAUAAAAGCUCAUCACACUGUUAAAGUGUACACUUUUUUCUUUAAGGAGAAAAAUAAAGUCAAAUAAUAAACACUGAGAAGUUCAAAACUUCUUGAAACAGGGUUUCAAUUAUUUUUACUCCCUGCUGCCACUCAGCAUAAGCACCCUAGGAAACUGCAUUCUUCAUUUUACUUAUUUUUCUGUCUUUGGCAUCGUCUGCUGUUUGAAAGCUAAAACGUUGAAGAAAUGUUCUCAAAGUGUAGUCUACAGUCUUCAUACACUAUUCUAUUCCUUACUGAAACACUGCUUCCACCCAUCCCCACCCCCUAAGACACAAAUACCAACCAACCUUUCUCUGCUUCAGUUUCCUGUUCAAUACAUAAUUAAUUGGCACUUGAACUCACCGUGUGAAAGAAAAGAAACUUGAGAAAAGGGGUGUUUUAUUUCAGUACAAACAGAUCUGGUGUUUCAGAGCCUCUCUUGUUAAAGAUAGAGGGUAGUGUGCUGUGCCCACGAAUCAGCCUGUACACAUUGCUCUGGGUAUGGAAUCUGGCUUCAAGGUGCUAUUUGACAGCUUGCAUUUGCUUACUAACCAUUCCACAGCAGGGAGACAUUUGGGUCUGGAAUCAGUGUUGUUUAUGGACAUUGUGAAAGUUGUCUGUUGGCACCAUGCUUAUAAACAUUUAGAACUGUGCAGACUGGUAGCAUGAGCCUCAUUCAGGAAAAUUUCCUCCGGAGCAGAAUUCUCUCAUUCCCUUGCAAUGAAACUAUUUUAACUUCUCAUUUUCUUCUGUGACUGAAUAUAGAGAAACUCGACAGUGAGCCAAAAGCACACAGUAUCUUCUUGUUUAUAUAUAGAGAGCUGAUCUUCAUUCUUUUCAUGGAGUGAAUGUUUUUCUUCCUCAAAAAUAUCAAAGAAAUUGCAUAACUUUCUUAGCAUUCGUUCUUUUAUGAAUAACACUUCAUUUAUUCACAAAAAUUAAGAGACUAUGCAAGUUAGAAUUCUGACCAUAUCUCAUCCUUUUAAAGGAGAGAUGGGGAGAGAAGGGGAGAGAGAUAGAAAGGAAGUUUCUGAAAACAUGUUUGGGUCUUUUCCCUGCAUGUAUGCUUCUGUAUCACAUGUCUGCCCGGUACCUAAAGAGGCCAGAAGAGCAUGUCAGAUCCUUUGGACCUGGUGUUACAUAUGAGCAGCCACAUAGGUGCUGGGAAUCAAACACGGGUCCUCUGCUAGAGAAGUCAGUGUUCUCAUCUUCUGAGUCAUCUCUCCAGUCUCUAUAACUUUUCACUUUGUCUUACUGUUAAUGGAAAUUAAGCAUCUUUUUAAGGUUGAUUUUAAAAUAAUGUUUCAUAUAUUAAUUCAGACUUAAGCAAUGAAAUGACAGAGACUUUGCUUAAUUUUAUUUUGUUUUGUCCUGUGUUGUGUUAUAAUUAAAGUAAACUAAAACUUAUAGUAAAAUAAACUUGUGCUCUACACAAACAUGACUUCUUACUAAAAUCAUUUGUAAUGAAUUUGACAAGUAUUAUUUAUACCACCUAAAAUGACAUGCACACUAUAUCCUGAAUAUAUCCAUCAUGCUAUCAGGGACUAUCAUUCCCACUCAUGGUCUGCCUGCUUUAAAUGUCAUCAUACCUGCACUAAGAAGAGAAUGAGUUCGUUUUUAUUGCUUAUACUAUCUUACUUAGACAUUAUUCUGUAGAGAUUUGUAUAGUGUUUGUAUUUGUCAGGUUAGUUCCAAUGUCUAGUUUCUCUUUUGAUAGGAUAAUGCCAAGUUUCUGUGUUCUCUUUUUUCCACUUAGAUUUCUACCUAUUUACUUACUUUGCAUAACAUCUUCAGUUUUUAUCUGAUCUGAACCUAGUUUAUUAUUAUUAUUAUUAUUAUUUUUCCGGAGCUGGGGACCUAACCCAGGGCCUUGUGCUUGCUAGGCAAGUGCUCUACCACUGAGCCAAAUCCCAACCCCCUAGUUUAUUAUUAUUAAAUUAAAAUAUUAUUAUUUAUUUAUUAAAUUACUAGAAUAAACAUGUUUGGGAAUUGUGCUCAUGUAUCCCGAAAAACUACAUAGAACAUAGUUUUUUUGGGUUUGAAAGAAAUUUAUAAAAUUCUUGAAAUCUGGAAUAUAUCUUAUAUAUUGAGACAUCAUAAAAGAAAUGGCAAUGAGUAGUACUCUUUGAUGUUUUUCCUUUAAAUAUUCUUUUCUCAUACAUUGUAUCCCCAAUCACAGUUUCCCCUCCCUGCCCUCCUUGCACUUUCCCCCAGCAUACCUUUCCUCUCCUCUAAAUUCACUCUUCCCUUUGUUUCCCUUUGGAAAGGAUCAGACCUUCUCUUCACAGCAGUGGAAACCCUAAGUAAGUACCCCUAAAUGGUCAUGUGAGGUAAUGGCCGUUAGCUAUCCAUUUAAAACCCCAAACCCCUGUCAUUCCCAUUAGACACUGACAGGUCUACAUUUGUUACCUCUAGCUCCCAGAACUAGAGGAAAUUAAUUUCUGUCAUUUAAUAAAUCCAGGAGGUAUUUGGUUAUACCAUUCAAGACAAGGCAGGCUGUGUAAUUUUCCUUAUGUCCACUCUAUUCCUACAACUGACUUAUUAAUGAAGUCACUUAAUGACUCUCAAUGCUUUUGCUUCAGGAGGCCCAUGUGAGGAGUAGGACUGGUUUGGCUUUUUAACAUAUGCCUUUCAGUGUUUCUGUCACUGUUCUCCACAAGAAAAUAGAUUGGGUAAAUCUUUGGUAGACAAGAUAUUGAGAGACUGAGCUCUCAUUUGGAGGUGAGACCAUACUGAAGAUACAAUCUCAGGCAGAAAUGUAUCUCAGAAAGAAUAUUGCACAGUGGCUACUAGGAAAAGACUUUUACAGCAAUAUAUUGCCUUGGAAGUUUAUUAGCAGUCUUCCCACUGCCACUAAAUCAACAGCAUCCAAGGUGUAGCAUGCUCUACCACACGCCCGCAUCUUCAUUUGCUGCUUUGUCUCCUCAACCCUCAUAUAAGACCUGCUAUUUGUAAAUAAAUACAGAAUUGUUAACAGUUCCCAAAUACGGAGACUUAAACCUGGGGCAACUAAGAAAAUAUUGCCAAUCUACUUUAUUGUCUGGGAAAUCUCCCAUCAAAUGUCUGUCCAGGAGAAAAAUUUAAAUUUUAAGUCAAUGGUGCUGGAUUUGGAGACUUUGUCUGAAUUUAACCUUAAGUACCAACCAUCUAAAAUUGUCUGCACUUGCGCGCGUACACACACACACACACACACACACACACACACACACACACACACACAGUUUUUGAGUAAGGCUAAAAUAAUUCCUGAAGGAUAUGUGAGAAAUUUGGAACAUGCAAACAGAUUUCGUAAAGAUUCUUUUCACUCCUUGAGAAGGACUAACUUCUUCCCCCACCAAGGGGAGAGAAUGGGGGAACCCUUGUUCCAAUUCCUCAUUUUUAGAGUCUCAUUUGGACUCAAGCGGUUUCUCUGUGUCCUUCAAUGUACUAUGGUUAUUGCUUCCCCUCUUUUUUACCCUUUGAUACUAAAUAUUUCAAAGUUUACAUUAGUCAUUCAGUGCAGAGAAUUCUGCAGAGCAAAAAGCUCAGUAUUAAUCAAAUACAUUUCACACUCUGGGGCAAGAGGCUAAAUGACAGCUAUGCUGCUAACCAGAAACUUCUAGUCAGUGGUGAAAUAUUGAAUGAUUCAAGUAGAUAUACAUCAAAGCUAUUAUUAGAGCUAUUAUGCUCAAAAUAUAGUUAUUUAAUAUCAAAGAAUAUUCAAAUGCAUGCAGAACAGAAAAAUUUAUAAUGAUUUGACUUCUCUGGCUGAAAUAGUUGUUCAAAUUUAUAACAUCUUUUUAAACUUGCCAUAUUUUGCUGACUUAAUACCUUUGGAUUAUAAAGUUGAGCUAACACAUAUUACUAUAAAAUAUAGUUAAUGCAUGCACAGAUUUAAAAUGGGUUAGCAGAACUGAAUAUAUCUUGACUAUUAUCCAAUUCAGAUACAUAAUCACUUGGGGGUAAUGCAUGCCUAGAAAUAGAGAUAUGUUAGGGGUGGAGUAAAGCAAGCCACUUCCAUUAUCCAAACAAAGAAAUUUUAUUUCCUAUAGCAGAAAUGUUCAGUACCUAUCAGAAACCAUUUUCCAUCCCUUUAUUAAGAAAAUAAUGAUUUUGUUGGGGUUAGGAGGGUACCUCACUAAGAUACUCUAUCUCUCCUCUCCUGCCGGCAGCAGUAGCUAAUGAGACAUAAGCAGAGUUCUGGGGCAAACUUCUGAUAGAGCUCUUAAAGGGGACUGCGUUAUCAGGGAGAAUGCCCCAUUUUACCUGUCAAUCUCCAUUUCUCUCCUUAUUUUGAACAUGAAAGUAAUGACUGAGCAGGCCCUGUCUCAUAAAAUUGAGGCAUUUUUGAAAAAUCGAAGCCACAUACUAACGAUGGGUAUAUAGAAAAAAAUAGGGAAGCUAGCUUGUAGGACAUGGGACAUGGUUUAGUCUAGAGCUGGGGCAACUGAGGUAGCCAUGUCUCCCCAAAUCUGAAUAUGCUGUCCAGCUUCAUCACAUACAUACAAAGCAAGUAAAAGCAAACACAGACAAGAUGAAGAUUCAUCACAUGUAUGAAAAAAGCAGAAGAGUCAGGUUUUGAUCAUAAAACUAGAUUCAAUUUCUACCCAGGUUACUGCCCCUGCAGAGGAAAGAACGGAGGUUAAGCUACAAUUAUCUUCAUUGAGAGUGUGUCUCUUUCAAAUAGGACAAUGAUGAAAAGGUCUCUUAGGCCAAAUAUUAACUACUACAAGACUUGAAAAGGCAGAUGACCAGUGGCAGAAUGAGUAAUAAAAAUUCUUAGAGGAGAAAAAGGUAAGAGAAGACAGAGAUCAGCUUUGGAGACUGAAUUUGAAAGAAAAAUGAAACUCAGAAGAAGUUUGGGAUUCUGAAGAAAAUACUCAGUUCUUUCUUUUUUUCUUUUAUUGGAUAUUUUUUAUUUACAUUUCAAAUAUUAUCCCCUUUUCUGGUUUCCUAUUCAUUAACCCCCUAACCCAUUCCCUCUCAGCCUUCUUCUAUGAGAGAGUUCCCUCACACAUCGACCCACCCCUUCCCACCUCCCCACCCUGGCAUUCCUGUACACUGGGGCAUUGAGCUUUGGCAGGAACAAGGGCUUUCACAUCCUCUGCUACAUAUGCAUGUGGAGCCAUGGGUCUGUCUAUGUGAACUCUUUAGAUGGUGGUUUAGUCCCUGGGAACUCUUGUUGGUUGGUAUAGUUCUUCUUAUGGGGUUUCAAACCCUUUUAGCUUCUUCAAUCCUUUCUCUAAUUCCUUCAUUGGGGACCCCAUUCUCACUUCAAUGGUUGGAUGCAAGCAUCCGCCUCUGUAUUUGUCAUUCUCUGGCAGAGCCUCUCAGGAAACAGCUAUUUCAGGCUCCUGUCAUCAUGCACUUCUUGGGAUCAGUAAUGUUGUCAGGGUUUGAUGGCUGUAUAUGGGCUGAAUCCCCAGGUGGGGCAGUCUCUAGAUGGCAUUUCCUUCAGUCUCUGCUCCAAAUUUUGUCUCUGUAUUUCCUCCUGUGAAUAUUUCUGUUCCGCCUUUGAAGAAGGACUAAACCAUCUACACUUUGGUUGUCUUUCUUCUUAAGCUUCAUGUGGUCUGUGGAGUGUAUCUUUGGUAAUCCAAACUUUUAGGCUAAUAUCCACUUCUCAGUGAGUGCAUACCCUGUGUGGUUUUUUGUGAUUGGGUUACUUCACUCAGGAUGGUAUUUUCUAGUUCCAUCCAUUUGCCUAUGAAUUUCAUGGGCUAUAAGAAUGGAUUGAUUUGUAUUCUUCUACAUGCUGACCACCAGUUGAAUAAGCACCAUUUGUUGAAAAUGCUUUCUUUUUUCCAUUGGAUGGUUUUAGCUCCUUUGUCAAAGAUCAAGUGACCAUUGGUGUGUGGGUUGGUUUCUAGGUCUUCAAUUCUAUUCCAUUGAUCUACCUGCCUCUCUCUGUACAAAUACCAUACAGUUUUUUUUUUAAAAUCAUGAUUGCUCUGUAAUACAGAGGUCUGGGAUUGUGAUUCCCCCAGAAGUUCUUUUAUUGUUGAGGAUAGUUUUAGCUAUCCUGGGUUUUUGUUAUUCCAAAUGAAUUUACAAAUUGCUUUUCCAAUUCUAUGAAGAAUUGAGUUGGAACUUUGAUAAGAAUUGCAUUGAAUUUGUAGAUUUCUUUUGGCAAGGUAGACAUUUUUACAAUAUUAAUUCUGCCAACUCAAGAGCAUUGGAGAUCUGUCUUCUGAAAUCUUCUUCAAUUCCUUUCUUCAGAGACCUGAAGUUCUUGUCAUACAUAUCUUUCACUAGCUUGUUUAGAGUCACACUGAGGUAUCUUAUAUUAUGUGAUUAGUAUAAAGGGUGUCAUUUCCCGAAUUUCUUUCUCAGCCUGUUUAUCCUUUGAAUAGAGAAAGGCUAAUGAAUUUUUUUAUUAAUUUUUUUUCAUCUGAGAGUUCAAGUCUAGUCUGGGAAAUGAAAGGUGAUGCCCAUUUCCAAAAAAACAAACCAAAACCAACGAGACACUUUUUCAUAACCUUUCAAAAUGCAGUGAUCUAGUACAGUUAGAUAAUAUAUAAAACACAUACAUGAGGGAAAUCACAAGAAUUUGAAAACCUAACUGACCAAAAGAGAAGAAAGGAAAGGGUAGAAGAGAAGAGAAAGAAAGCGAAAGCAAGAAGAGGAGGGAAAGAAGAAGAAGGAGGAAGAAAAGAAUCGAGGGUGGGAGGGAAGAAAUGUUACAUUCAGGGGAACCUUAAAGAAAAAUAUUCAAAAUUAUGUUUAAGAAAUAAAUAUUUAGAAUGUGACAUUGAAGACAUGCAGAAAACUAGCAAUACAAACAAGAGUAACUUGGAAUAACUUUAUAUAAUGAUUGCAAAAGGAACCAAUGUAUAAUUAAGAAUAUGAUAACAAGGAAUAUCUGGCCACCCAAUGGUUUGGAGAAAACCACAGCAGGAGCCAACUGGUGUUUAAAACUGUAAUUGAGGACAACAAAAGAGUAAAUGCAGAGGGGCCAUAGCGUCAUCCUGAGAUAGGCCUCAGGGUGUUGCGCAACCUGAAAACUGAUCAGUGAAAGCUAACUUUACCAACUCCACCAAUCUCUGCUUUUCUGGAGCAGUCACUGAAAAGCAUUGUUUGUUGUUUUGUUUAAUAAAAUUGGAAAUCUAACAAAAGUGUUUCAGUUGUGUCAUUGCUAAUUUUGUCAUAGAUUUGCUACUUUAAAUCUUUUGAGCUUUGCUUGUUUUAUCUCUAGUUUUACUUCCCCAUGUGACCUAUUUUGAGUUGGAUUAUGUCUGUUGGUAAGAUUUUCUUUAAAGUCAUAAUCUUCACCUUGGCUCUGUAUCCUAGCUCAGUCCACAGCUCUAGAAGAACCCUGUUCUAACUGAGGCCAAACCAGUAUUACAGAUACCAGGUAAGACACUGCCCAUUUUAAUGGAAGUGCUAACACUCCUUAGAGCCUACCCAGCUGUCUUCAAUAGCACCAUUUCCCUCAGUUCCAUAUUUCUGACUAGAAUUUUAGCAAAAGUUUCCAGCUCUUCCAGAGGCCAAACUGGUACCUGGAAUUCCUGAGACAAUGCUAGUUUCCAGAAUCCCAGAACCCAAAAGGCAAUGUGAACACCUUACACUUCAGUGAGGAUACCCUACUGGACCUGAAGACACACUGGUUACCAGAAACUCAAGCCAUUCAUGCCAUAAGACAAGAGAGGAAACAGAAACCAAGGGGGAGAAAUCCAUCCAAAACGAUGAACUCAGAAAUCAGCAUGUGUCUUAGGGUUUUAAUGCUUUGACCACCAUGACCAAGGCAACUCUUAUAAGAACAACAUUUAAUUGGGGCUGGCUAACAGUUUUAGAGGUUCAGUCCAUUAUCAUCAAGGUUGGAGUGUGGCAGUAUCUAAGUAGGCAUGGUACAGGAGGAUCUGAGAAUUCUACAUCUUCAUCUGAAGGCAGCUAAGAGAAGAUUGACUUGUACGUGAUUAGGAGGAUGGUUUCAUUGUCCACCCCAACAAUGACCCACUUCCUCCAACAAGCCCACAUCUCUUCCAACAAGGCCAUAUCUCCUAAUAAUGCCACUGCCAUUGUCAAGCAUAUUCAAAUCAUGAUAUUCCCCUCCCUGGAUACUAUAAAUACAUGAGUCUAUGGGGCCAUACUUAUCCAUAGCACAAUGCAAAAUAUAUUUAAUCCAAAUUUUAAAAUAAUCCUCAUAGUCUAUAACUCAGCAAUGUUAACAAUCCAAAGUUAAAAGUCUCUUCUGAGAUUCGUUCAAGCACUUAACUGUAAUCCCCAAAGCAAGAGAAGAAACCAGCUAGGCUAACUCCAAACUCUGCAUCUCCAUGUCGGAUAUCAAAGUGGUCUUCAGAUCUCGAACUCACUUUUCAUUUUUGAUGGCUGCCACAAACUUCCUUCUCUUAGGAUGGUUCCACUCCUUGUACAGAUUUCCUCAAGGGUGUCCCAUUGCUCUGGCAUCUUUAACAUUUUGGGUUCUCCAGAAUACCUUGUUCCAAUGUCUAGGAUUCACAUAUGAACUUCUGGGCUUCUCUGAAGGACUUGCAUCACUUCUGCAGCGCUGCUCUCUUUAGCACCCUAGGCUCUGGGUGGCUCCACUCUUCUACUGCUGUUGUUCUUGGUAGUCUUCCCAUGGUACUGGCUUCUCUAAUAUGCUGAGGUCUUCUGCUGCAACUAAGUUUUAGAAAUAACCUCCCAUAGGCUCUUUUCAUGGUGCCAAAUCUCAACUUCUUUGCAUAAUCUCUUCUGUCCUGGGAUGCAUGUUCAUCAAUGGCCUUCCCUCAUCUCACACAGUGUCAGGCCUCAGCUAUGCUCUAUGACCCCUUUAGGCCUUCGAAACUAGCACCACCAGGAUGAUUCUUACACAUUACCAUGUCCAGCUGCUAUCCCUGGAGUAUUACUUCUUUGCGAUUUCUGAAAACACUUCAAGGCAGAAAUAAAGAAAUUAAAGACUUCUUAGAAUAUGUGUGCAUUAAUGAAAAUUAAUGGAUAAUAUACAAAACUUCUGAGAAAUCAUGAAAGCAGCACUAAAAGGAAAGAAAAUUCAUAGCACUAUGAGCCUUCAUAAAGAAAUUAGAGAGAGCUCACAAUAGCAACAUAACAGCACACCUGAAAGUUCAGAAACUGAAAGUGAGGCAUAACAACAGACACAGGAAGUCCAAAAAUAUCACUAGGUCAUACUUCCAAAGCCCCUCCUCCACAAAAUGAGAAAAUCCGAAAGAAAUGGACAAUGUUUUUGAUUAAAUACCAGUUAUCAAAGUUAAAUCAAUGUUAGAUAAACAAUUCAAAUAGACUUAUAACUGCUAAGGAAAUAGAAGCAGUCAUUAAAAUAUCUCAACCAAAGAAAGACCAGAGCCAGAUGGUUUUACUGCUAAAUUCUCACAGACUUUCAAAGAAGAGAUCAUAUCAUUAUUCCCCAAAGCAGAAACAAGGCACAUUGCCAUAUUCACAAGGCCACAUUCUCCCUGAUACACCAAGUACACAAAGACUCAACAAAGAAAAUUACAGACCAAUUUCCUCCAUGAUCAAUGAUACAAAAAUACUCACUAAAACACACACAAAGCAAAUUCAAGUAUAUAUACAUCAAAAAGAUCAUCCACCAUGAUCAAGUAGGCUUCAUUCCCAGUGAUGCAGGAUGGUUCAAUAUAUAGAAAUUUGUCUACCAUAUAAACAAACAGAAAGAAAAAAAAACAUGAUCAUCUCAUUAGAUAUUGAAAUAUUCUUUGAAAAAAUCCAACACCUUCACAUGGUAAAAGUUUUGGAGAGAUCAGGGAUAUAAGGGACGAACCUUAACAUAAUAAAUACAAUAUACAGAAACCAAUAGCUAGGAUUAAGUUAAAUGGAUAGAAUUGCAAAACAAUUCCACUAAAAUCAGGUUGUCCAGUCUCUCCAUAACUAUGCAAUAUUGUACUAGAAGAUCUAGUUACAGCAAACAAACAAAGGAGAUCAGGGGGAUGUAAAUUGGAAAAGAAUAAGUUAGAGUAAUGUUAUUUGCAAAUGAUAUGAUAGUAUACAUUGACCAAAUAUUCUACCAGGGAACUCCUACAGCUGGUAAACACUUUUAGUAAUGUGGAUGGAUACAAGAUUAGCAGCAACAUCAACAACAACAAAAAAAAUCAGUAGCCCUACUAUAUACGAAAGUUAAAUGGACUCAGAGAAAUAAUAUCUUUCACAAUAGUCACAAAUAAUAUAAAAUAUCUUGGUGUAACCCUAAGCAAGCAAGUGAAUGACCUGUAUAACAAGAACUUCAAUUCUUUGAAGAAACAUAUUGAAGAAGAUAUUAGAAGACAGAAAGAUCUUACAUGCUAAUGGAUCAGUAGGAUUAACAGUGAAAAUGGCCAUCUUACCAAAAUAAUCUACAGACUCAGUAAAAUCUUUAUUAAACUCCAACACAUUUCUCUACAGACCUUGAGGAAACAAUAUUCAACUUCAUAUGGAAAAGCACAGCAAAAUAAAAUAAACAAACAAAACAAAACAAAACAAAACAAAACAGAAAAACAAGAUAGCUGAAACAAACCUGUACCAUAAAAGAACUUAUGGAGAUCUUACAAUCCCUGAUUUCAAGCUCUGCUACACAGCUAUAGUAUAAAAAAAAAAUCACAUGAUAUUUGAAUAAAAGUAUACUCAAAUGGCUGAUAAAUAGAAUUAAAUUGAAGACGCAGAUGUAAAUCUACACACAUAUGAGCACCUGAGUUUUGAUAAAAAGUCAAAAUUAUACAAUGGGGAAGAAAAGUAAGUAUUUGCAGAUAAAAUGAAAGAAUACGCAAGUGGCCCUAAGAACUUGGGAACUCCUAAUGGUGAAAAUCACCUUCGGCUAAGUAGCAAAAUACAAAAUUAAGUAAAAAAAAUUCUAGCCCUCAUAUAUACAAAUGGCAAACAGAUUGAGAAAAAAAUUAAGGAGACAAUACCUUUCAUAGUAACCUAAAUAAUAUAAAAUACCUUGGGGGGGUAAUUGAAACCAAACAGUUAUAUACAUAUAGUAAAAGUUUCAAGUUUUUGAAGAAAAAAAUUGAAGAAAAUAUUAGAAGAUGGAAAGAUCUCCCAGUAACAUAGUAAAAAUGGCCAACCUACUAAAAACGACCUACAAAAGAAAUUCAAUUGUGAUCAAAAUUCCACUGCAAUAUUUUUCCUGGACCUGAAAGUAGGAAAAUGCAAGAUCCCAGGAGAGCUAAAACAAUCCCGGGCAGAAAAAAGAACAAAACAACAGCAGCAGCAGCAACAUCAACAAACUGCUGGAUAUAUUGCCAUCCCUGAUUUUAAGUUGUAUCAUAAUGCUAUAAUAAUAAAACCUCACAUGACCUAUGAUUAGACCUAUGAUCAAUGGAAUUGAAUUUAAGACCCAGACUUCACUCUAAACACCUAUGGACAUGCGAUUUUAAUAAGGAUGCCAGAGAUACAUGGUGGAAAAAAGAGAGUAUCUUCAGCAAAUGGUGCUGGUCAUACCGGAUUGCUGCAUGUUAAGGAAUCCAAAUAGAUUCAUACCUAACAUCCUUCACAAAGCUUAAGUCCUAAUGUUAAGACCACAGAAUACCCAGAUGCAAUGAAUCUGGUAAAAGAGAAAGUUGAGAAUAGCAAUGACUGAUUAGCACAAAAAAGACUUUGAGAUCAGAACACCAAUGGGGCAGACACCAAGGCCAAUAAAAUAAAUGGGACCUCAUGAAACUGAAAGUCUUCUCUAAGGCAGAAAACUGUGUAAUUUGGACAAGAUAGUAGCCUAUUAAGUGGGGAAAAAAUGAACAAUUCCAUGUCUGAUAGAAGACUAAUAUCUAGAAUAUCUAGUUAUCAAGAAACUAGAUAAUAAAAAACCAAAUAACAUAAUUUAAAAAUGGAAUAUGGAUUUAAUCAGACUUUUUUCCAAAAAGGAAAAGGAGGGAGAUGGAUCUGGGGAGAGGCAUGAUGAAGAGGGUCUGGCAGGAGCACAAGGAGGGAAAACUCUGAAUAGUAUGAUUUGGAUGAGAAAGAAUUAUGAAUGGACAGAUGGUAACAGUGAAGAGACAGUUUGAACUCACAGCACAUUUCCACCUUGUAAAGAAUUCCAGGAAUAUCUACUUGAGCUUCAAGAGCUGGUUGACUCUCCAUUUGUGAUGCUGAAAGGACAAAUUAUAUUUUAUCCAAAUUUUAAUGUAUAAUUAAAAUAUAUUCUAAUACCAAGAUCAAAUACAUUUUAAAAACAUGUGGAAACAUACAUUAUUUACCUAAUUCUUCUGUCAUACUGUUGGUGUUCAACCUUCUCAUUUGUAGAAAUGUUAAUAUUUCUCUUCUAUAUUAAUAUUUGAAAGAGCUUUUCAGUUGGAAAUGGUGGCUCACCCAUUUAACCUUAGCACUUGGGAAGCUGAGGUUGAGGAAUUAAGAGUUCAAGGAUAGCUUUUGCUACAUAGCAUAAUUUUGCCUGAAAGUCCUACACGCAGACUAUAAAGCUAAAUAAAAAAUAAACACCAUAUAAAAUCAAUUAAUAUAAUUAUAUGUCAUAUAGUACAUAAUAUAUAUCAACUAAUAUUAAAGUUAAAUAAAAUGUAUAUUAGUUUUCUACAUAUGCUUAGUAAAAAGUUACUGCUAUGUGGUUCUAAAGGUUGUGAAUCUAAUGUCAAUGGCCCAGCCUUGGUUUCUCUGAGGACUGCGAAAGGAAUCUGUCAGCAUUUUCUUCCUCCUGGAGUUUAUUGCUGGCAGUCUCAUUCACUUGUACCAUUACAAGCUGUGUGUUCAUGUUUUCGUUACAGGUUCCCUGUGAGUGUAUCUAUCUGUGAAUUUCCUCUUUACGUAAGAAUACGAGACCUUGAAUUCUUACAGGUGUCUCUUUUCUUGUUUCAUGGUGGUGUGAAGAAAAUUCUCAGCAAAGUUGAAAUUAAUUACAUUUUUAUUAGCUUGCAGCCAUUAUUUUGUACUUUGGGUCUCUAUAUCUCAUUGAGGUUAUUACUGCAUGCUGUUUUCAUUUUAGAUAACAUUUUUCCACCAGCCUCAAGUAGCCAGAUUUUACUUUCUGUGACUGUAAUUCUUUCAAAUCCAUGUGUGUUUUAAUUACCUUUUCUGGUUAUGGUGAUCAAAUGCAUUUCAAAAAUCAACUGAAGACAAAAGUGGUUAUUUUGACUUGCAGUUUGGAGGGAUACAGUCCAUUUUGUAAGGGGUUGCAACAUGGCAAGAGAACAAUGGAUGAUAUCUUAGUUUGGGUUUUCUUGUUGUGACCAGACACCAUGAGCAAGGCAACUCUUAUUAAAGGAAAACACUUAAUUGGGGUUGGCUUCUAGAGGCUUAGUCCAUAAUCAUCAUGGUAGAAAGCAUGGCAUUGUGUGUAGUCAGACUUGGUGCUGUAGGAGACAAGAGCUCUACGUCUUCAUCAGUAGGGAGCAAAGAGGAGACUUAACUUCCAGACUUGGUGGAUCUUGAGCAUAUGACAUGUCAAACUGUCCCCAUAGGAACACAUUUCCUCCAACAGGGCCACAACUACUGCAACAAGGCCACACCUCCUAAUAGUGGCGUUUCUUAUGGGCCAAACAUUCAAACAAAAUAUUCAAAAUAGUCUAUGGGGGCCAUAUCUAUUUAAACCACCAGGGAUGGAUUGAAUUCGAAGUCAGGAAGGAAUGAGUGGACAGGACAUUGGGCAGGACGAUAACAUUCCAAAGAUUUGCUCUGCUCUAGUUAGGAUCCAACUGUGCAAGGUUGUCAACUUUAUAACCCUUAAAGGAAAAACCAUCCAGAGACUUCUCCACAUUGGGAACCAAACCAUCUGCAAACACCCAAACCGGACACUAUUGCUGAUGCCAAGAAGCACUGGCUGAGAGGAGCCUGAUAGAGCUGUCCCACGAGAGGCUUUGCUAGAUCCUGACAAAUACAGAUGUGGAUGCUUGCAAACAACCAUAGGACUGAGCACAGGGACCCCAGUGGAGGAAUUAGGGGACGGUCUGAAGGAGCUGAAGGGGUUUGCAACCCCAUGGGAAAAACAACAGUGUCAAUCAACUAGAACCCCCAAAGCUCCCACAAAAUAAACCAAACCAAGCAAAGAGUACACAUGGAGGAACCCAUGGCUCCAGCUGCAUAUAUAGCCAAGGAUUACCUUAUCUGGCAUCAAUGGUUGGGGAGUUCCUUGGUCCUGUAGAGGCUUGAGGACCCAGCAUAGGGGAAUGCUAGGGAACUGAGGUUGGAGAGGGUGGGUGUGUGGGGGAGCACCCUCAUAGAAGCAGAGAGGGAGGGAUGGGGAUUUGUGGAGGGGAAACAGAGAAGGAGGAUAAAAUUUGAAAUGUAAAUAAAUAAAAUAACCAAUAAAAAAACUGUUCAAGAAGGUGAGCCUACAGCAGACAUUUUAUAUUCAAACCAACACAAGAUGACUGAUCUCACAAGACACAUGUUUUUGUAUCUGACCCAUUUCCCUUGGCACAUCACUCAUCCUUACUCAUUUUUCCACAAAUGGCAGACUUCCAUUCAUAGUUAUAUAAUAUUCCAUCGUGUGAACUGUAUUUCAAUCCAUUUAUUCAGUGAAGUUGAUUCCAGAUAGAAGCUAUUAUAUGGGGACAUAUACAAUGGGGAUAUAAUGUGUGUGUUUGUAUGUAUGUAUGUGCAUACAUGUAUACGUAUGUAUAUGCAUAUAUGUAUACAUAUAUAGAUAUAUAUGUAGCUAUAGAUAUCUCCUCUCUUAUCACAUCUACAUCUCUCAGACAAUGUACAUAUAUAUGUCUUUUAGGACCCUAUUACAAGACAAAGUUACAUUUUGAGAUAGUGGACAUAUGAAUGUUGUGGGUUAUAAUUAAAUUUCUAACUAUAAUUGUAUUUGUAUGGUGGAGUAAUCAGCAGUUUCACUAACAGGUUUUCAAAUAUAUAGUCUGAACCUUAUUUUGUAUUAAAGAUGCAAAACCUAAAAGUAAGGAAUACAAAAUCUCCAGAGAGAAAUCAGGACUUUGGAAUGUCCUGCCUUAUGGGUGUGAAUCUCCCUUUGUUCUCUUCACUGACAACUUUACAUUCCUUGUGGCAAGAUAGAGGUUUACCCACUUGGACAUACAAUUCUUUUUACACCAAUUCUAAUUACCAAAAAGACCAUGUCUUUGUGUGUUGGACUGCAACUCCUGGGUGUCAGCAGUGUGUGAUUUUUGUUGGUGCCUCAAUCUAAUGUUACAGAUCGUAGAUGUUAAUAAUGAUAUAUUCAAAAUUAUUCGUGAUGAACAUUACAGUGAGUGUCAAAUGAACUGGGUCUAUGGAAAGGAUACCACUAUGCGGAGCUACCAAUGUUCCUAAUACCACAUGUCUUUCAUUUAGAAAAACAACCUUUAUUCGCACCGUGUCUUUUAUUUCAAUGAUCGUACAGAGUUUAAGUAGAUGUGUAGCAACUUCAGCGUCUUCCACUCUAUCACACCCCAGGGUGAGAUUCCACAUCUGUCACACAAUUCACAGCCCAGCACCAGAACAAUGCUGGUACCCAGGAGGGAUAUCAAGUCAGACUGAAAACAGAACAGCUCAGAUUUAGGAGAGCCAAAUAUAAUUACCCCAAGAUAAAUUUGACCAAGAAGUAGAAUUAGGCUGUUUUGUCUAGAAAUCUAUUGACUCUUUUGGGACAACAGCAAAAAAAAUCACCCUUAGGCAGUUAAUGGAGUCCAAUCAAAGUCACAGGCCACAUAAUUACACAGAAGGAAUAUUUUGGGAGCUGCAGGUCAUACAGGAAGUUUGGGUUUGUGGAAUAAUUUUCAAAGACAUUGGAAUGUGUCAACAGUCACAUUGCAGAAGAAGAAAAUGUGAAAUACGCACAAUAUAAUAAAAACAAAAUAAAUUUAACAAUACAGGUAUCAUCGGCUGAUUGUAGUAACUGGAAUUAGCUGAGAAAUGCAAGCUGAAGUCAUUUCAUACAUCCUUCUCAGAUGUUUUUCAAAUUUUUUGAUAAUUUUUUGUGGUAUUUCACCACAGAGAACUCUUCGCUUUAAGGUUUCAUUUUAAAAUGAAACUAGUCUCCCUGUUUUCACGAAAAUGACGAAGCAGGGAGAUGUGCCUCCUUAUUUCAACUUUAUUUUGUGGGUUUUAUCACUUUGAUGCAGUUCCCACCUUUCAAUUUAAGGAAGUAGAUUGAGCACAAGUUUUGAAGUUUUCUGAUUUUCUUUCAAAAUGUCAUUAGACAUUUUUUUUUUUAAAGCUGACAGGCCUAGCUUUUUUUCUCAUAGAUGGAGUUACUAGGUGAAUUCUCAUAUGGUGAUUUAAAUUUUGAUUUCUUAUUUAUUUUUUUUAUUUUUUAUUUUGCCAACCACUUUUGUAAAAGUACGGUAGAAAGCUAUUUAAAUCUUUUGUUGGGAUUUUAUGGCUUGUUAUUUUCACCACCACAGUGAUAUUUCAAGAAUAUACAUUUUUAAAUUAUCUGACGGAUACUUUUAAAAAUUUUCCUUACAGUCCUUUACUUUUCCAAACUAAACAAAUGUUAAGUUGUAUUUUCACAAGAAGUGCAUAAAUAUAUGAAAAGGAACUGUUUAACUGUAUGAUGGCUAGAAGCCUCUCUUUUCCAAACAUAAUUAAAUGUGGGUUAAUCUGAAGGAAAAAUAAAUGGUCUAAGGGGCAUUGAGUAAAUUUGAGAACUGCAAAAUUAUGAUGAGGUAUUGGGUUAGUACUUGAGAAGACCUAGUGCUGACCUUUCCUGAUUAACCGGAUUUUAGCGUUUAACUACAUAUCAACACGUCCCCAAGUUUUCACAAUAAUGAAUAGAGUAUAUAUUUUUAUACAUGCUGGCUUAUUGAGAAGCAUAUCAAAUCUUAAUGGAACUGGAAUCCCAAGCCUGUGUAUCUUUGGUAUUGUAGUCCAUUUCUUCACCUUAGCUAAUAGGCUUUUCAAGAAGGUUCCCUGUGAUGCCUGCAUUCUCUUACUUUCAUUCUGAGCAAGUUGUCUGAAAACAGGCCACUCGGUGCAACUCCUUAGACCUCGUACUUCCCUGUGCUAGUCCACGGGCCAUUAUUUCCUUGCCAGGUUCUCAGCAGUGUGGAACCAUUCCAACUAGUUUCACUAGCUUUAUUCUAUCUACCAGGAAUGACAUAAUAAAAAUUCCUCUUGAUUUCAUUAACAAGAUGCACUUUUCUUCCAGGUAGCACACACACACACACACUAGGAACUUUAAAUUUAUUCUAUAAUGACAGAUUACUAGUUAGUUGCUUAGGAUUGGGAUUGAUUGGCUGAGAAGUAUGAACAGAGAGGGAUAAAAAGUUCACUUCCAAAGAGAUCAGAAAAACAUUUUGAAGUGAUGAGCAUAUUUAAUAUCUCGGGUUUAGUGAUAGCUUCAUAAAGUUACACAUAAAAAAUUAUUUAAAUAUGUCAUUAUUGUUUGUUAAUUAUUAUUCAGUAAAAUUGUAUAUAAACCAGUAUUGGUACAGGGAAGAAAACAGAUUUGUUUUAAAGAUUUUAUUCAUUCUAAUUCUUUAUGUCUAUGUGUCUCCGAGUGAGGAUGCUGGCAAAGUUCAGAGGCAUCGGAUUUUCCUGAAGCUGGAGUUAAAGGAGGUUGUGAACUAUCAGGUGUAGGUCUUAUGAAACAAUCUUCAAUCCUCUAGAUGAGCAAUAUAUACUCUGAAAUGUUGAAUACCUUUGGCAAAGACAACCUGAGGAAGAAAGGGUUCCCAUUGGUUUACAGCUUAAUGAUGGAAAGUCAAGAAAAUAGGAUCAUAAAGCGCUGGUCACAUCACAUCUGCAGUUGAAAAAGAUAUUGCAUUCUACAGCUCUGCAUGUUUUCUCCAUUUUAAACAGUCCAGAAUCCUGGCCCACGAAAUGGUCCCUUCAACUUUGGGCGUGGGUCUUCUCAUGUAAAUUAACUAAGCCUUAGUCCCUCAUAGAUAUGCUCAGAAGCUCAGUACUCCUUCACAGACGAUUUAGUUUCUUCAGAUUCAUUCAUGCUGCUAAUGAUUACCAACUACUUGCAGCGACCCCAUGUUACUUCAAAUGGCUCUUAAGUGUUCUUGUGAGUGGGUCAAAAACUCUGGAAACGUAACCAAAGGCUUAUGUUGAAGAUAAUAUUGCUUUAUGACAUAUGAGUGAGCAUGCACACGCUCACACACACACACACACAGACACUCAUGCACAUGCAUUCAUACACAUAUGUACAAAAAUACACUCAAGAAUGCAUUUGCAGACACAGAUACACACUCAAGUAGGCAUGCAUGUGUGUGUAACACACAUGUCCACAUGUAUACGUGAGUGCACACACAGGUACACACACACACACACACACACACACACACACACACACACACACACACACACAAAGUACAUACCAGUUUAAAUAGUUUGGGAAUCUGCCUGUUCUCCAGCAAAUGACCCAGAUGACAGCAGGCUGUACAGGUGAAUCCACUGACUCUAACUCAGCCUCAGAUCUGACCUUCUUUCCUAGUAAACCACCCUUUUGAUAUUUAAGAUUAUAUCAUCUUUGAAUUAAAAUUAAUUAAUUAGUUAAUUAAUUUUUACACUCCAGAUUUUACUCCCCUCAGAGUUCCGCAUCCCAUACCUCCUCCCUGCCCUCCCCUCGCCCACACUUCUCCCUGUACCCCUGUCUCCACAAGGAUGUUCCCACCCCACCCACCCCGCCAGACCUCUAAGCUUCUGGGGCCUCCAGUCUCUUGAGGGUUAAAUGUAUCUUCUCUGACUGAACCCAGUCCUUUGCUAUACAUGUGUUGGGGGCCUCAUCUCAGCCAGUGUAUGCUGCCUGGUUGGUGAGACUAUACCAUCUUACUACAUUACAACAGGUUGUGUUCCCUAUAGCACAGAUCCCAAAUACAAGCCAGAUAUCUCACAUAGUUUUCAAGAAAAUAAAAUUGGCCUCAUCAUUUCCAGGAAUUGUUUUCUCAGGAGACAACUGUGAGGAUUUUCAAGAGUAGUUUCAAUUUCGAUCACUGUUUGAGGGUCUUGUCUCCUUGAAUAUUCAAAGAUUCUAAGAAAAGCUGAAUCAUUGAGUGUAUUGUCUCUCUAUUGAUGCAAGUGAAGGCAAAGUAAAUGCAUUAAAUCACCCAGGGAAAAAAAGAAGAAACAAACCCUCUAUUUGACACCUUACAGGGAAGGAAAUGUCAGCAUACACAGAUGUGGGCUCACAACAAAGACUGCGCACAGCGGGUCAAGGAGGAAAAAGAAAAGCGACAUCGUGAGAUUAAAAAAAAGAGGAACGUUUAUUAGAAUCAGCCAAUUAUUUCAAAGGUAGGAUGGAAAAUGGGCCGUGUAACAUGUUCUGCUCUCUGAGGCGUCUAGUGCCUAUUGCAGUCUGGUACUCAGAAGACAGUAAAUACGAUUUGCCGUGAUGGAUCCUUACCCUCUCUGAGUGACUGUGAAGAACCUUUCUGUAUUACGGUAACAAUUCUGUGGUGUCUCUGUAUUGAAAAGAAAUUAUGAGAGUCUCUAGCAAAGACCUCAGCCGAACUCCUGAGAACAGUGUAUGGGGCUGAGGAAUUUACAGAAUGGACACCAUGCAGUCACUACCGCUGCCUUUUAUCAGGCUGAGACUGCUUCUCCAACUCUUACAGGUUUAAUUUAUUUGAAGGAUAUACAUUUGGAGAAAGCAACGUGGGUCUGAGAUUGGGGCAGAGGGUGAAUACUUUCAGCUUUCCAAUCAGCUGAAGGAGUUGACCUACCUGUUGCCUAAUUCCAAAAGCAGACAGUGCACAGAAGGAAGUCCUAUGUCCUUAGGAAAUGUGAUUUUAAAAGAUUGAAAUCCCUGUCACUCUCUGGGAAAUAUUCCAUUCUGUAUAGCUGACUGUUAUUGUAAUGAAUUUCAGCUAAAUUGGGGAAGAGAGAAUAAGUAGUGUUACAGUUAAAAAAAAAACUAACAGAAAACAGAAUCAAGAUCAAUCUUCCUUGGUUUAGACUUAUCUUUCCAUCUUCUGGGAGUCUUUCUCUUGAUUUAUGACUUAUUUUCAGUUAAAGCUUUUCCAAGCAGUGGCAACCUGAUUGCUGAAUGAUUGACAGAGUUUAAACCUUUGCUAAGACAUCAGGCUCAAAACCUUCGAAGAUGGUGAUAGAUCCCAGGAAGGAGUUGUUACAGAGGAAUUUAAAAAUACAAGCCAAUAAGCCAUAUCAAAGUAAAAUGUAACUUCUAUCCAGUCUAAUGCAACAUUCUAACUCCAAUAAAUUGGGCUUACAUUUCUGAUAUAAA